rnacentral:rRNA from 1 species
UGAGGAAUAUUGGUCAAUGGGCGAGAGCCUGAACCAGCCAAAUCGCGUGAAGGAAGACUGCCUUAUGGGUUGUAAACUUCUUUUAUACAGGAAUAAAAAAGGGGACGUGUCCCUUAUUGCAUGUACUGUAUGAAUAAGCAUCGGCUAACUCCGUGCCAGCAGCCGCGGUAAUACGGAGGAUGCGAGCGUUAUCCGGAUUUAUUGGGUUUAAAGGGUGCGCAGGCGGGCUUUUAAGUCAGCGGUGAAAUCUCGGGGCUUAACUCCGAAACUGCCGUUGAAACUGGGAGUCUUGAGUAUGGAUGAAGUAGGCGGAAUUCGUUGUGUAGCGGUGACAUGCUUAGAUAUAACGAGGAACUCCGAUUGCGUAGGCAGCUUACUAAGCCAUAACUGACGCUCAAGCACGAAAGUGUGGGGAUCAAACAGGAUUAGAUACCCCUGGUAGUCCACGCCGUAAACGAUGAUUACUAGUUGUAUGCGAUAUACCGUAUGUGACUAAGCGAAAGCGAUAAGUAAUCCACCUGGGGAGUACGCCGGCAACGGUGAAACUCAAAUGAAUUGACGGGGUCAUAGCUG